GAUGAAGAACGUAGCGAAAUGCGAUAAGUAGUGUGAAUUGCAGAAUUCAGUGAAUCAUCGAAUCUUUGAACGCACAUUGCGCCCCUUGGUAUUCCAUGGGGCAUGCCUGUUCGAGCGUCAUCUACACCCUCAAGCUCUGCUUGGUGUUGGGCGUCUGUCCCGCCUCUGCGCGCGGACUCGCCUCAAAGACCUCGGCGGUGGCGUCUUGCCUCAAGCGUAGUAGAAACACCUCGCUUUGGAGUGCAUGGCGUCGCCCGCCGGACGAAACCUUUUGUAUUUUCUCAAAGGUUGACCUCGGAUCAGGUAGGGAUACCCGCUGAACUUAAGCAUAUCAAUAAGCGGAGGA
rnacentral:misc_RNA from 1 species